rnacentral:rRNA from 1 species
UACGGAGGGUGCGAGCGUUGUCCGGAAUCACUGGGCGUAAAGGGCGCGUAGGCGGCCGGCCAAGCGUGCGGUGAAAGUCCGGGGCUCAACCCCGGAUCUGCCGUGCGGACUGGUUUGCUGGAGCACUGUAGAGGCGAGUGGAAUUCCGGGUGUAGCGGUGGAAUGCGUAGAGAUCCGGAAGAACACCGGUGGCGAAGGCGGCUCGCUGGGCAGUGGCUGACGCUGAGGCGCGACAGCGUGGGGAGCAAACAGG